UCCAGACUCCUACGGGAGGCAGCAGUGGGGGAUAUUGCACAAUGGGGGGGACCCUGAUGCAGCGACGCCGCGUGGGCGAUGGAGUGCUUCGGCAUGUAAAGCCCUAUCAGCAGGGAAGAAAAUGACGGUACCUGACUAAGAAGCCCCGGCUAAAUACGUGCCAGCAGCCGCGGUAAUACGUAGGGGGCAAGCGUUAUCCGGAUUUACUGGGUGUAAAGGGAGCGUAGACGGCUGAGCAAGUCUGAAGUGAAAGGCGGGGGCCCAACCCCCGGACUGCUUUGGAAACUGUAUAGCUAGAGUGCAGGAGAGGUAAGUGGAAUUCCUAGUGUAGCGGUGAAAUGCGUAGAUAUUAGGAGGAACACCAGUGGCGAAGGCGGCUUACUGGACUGUAACUGACGUUGAGGCUCGAAAGCGUGGGGAGCAAACAGGAUUAGAUACCCGAGUAC
rnacentral:rRNA from 1 species